rnacentral:lncRNA from 1 species
GUUCCCUCAUCAUUGGCAAAUUGGAGUCCCCAAGGUUAGCCCCCUCAGUAAUGUUCUUCAGUGGGGCACGGGGCAGGGGGGAGGGGCCCCCUUAGCUCUCGGAGGCUACAGCCUCCCCGUCGCGGCUCUCCGUCUCCUCCGGGAUGUCCUGCAUUCUGGUAAAGUCUCGUGGACUGUGGGGCGGAGACAGACGGCUGCUACCUUCCUCCUCGCUGCCAGUGUCAGGGUCACUGCUGUCUUGCAGCCGCUCUUCGGGGCUCCCCAGUUCCUGCCUCUCUCGGUCCUCAAAGUUUCGAUGGACAGAGCGAGUAGUGACAGGUAGA